UACGUAGGGUGCAAGCGUUGUCCGGAAUUAUUGGGCGUAAAGAGCUCGUAGGCGGUUUGUCGCGUCGUCCGUGAAAACUCACAGCUUAACUGUGAGCUUGCGGUCGAUACGGGCAGGCUAGAGUUCGGUAGGGGAGACUGGAAUUCCUGGUGUAGCGGUGAAAUGCGCAGAUAUCAGGAGGAACACCGGUGGCGAAGGCGGGUCUCUGGGCCGAUACUGACGCUGAGGAGCGAAAGCGUGGGGAGCAAACAGG
rnacentral:rRNA from 1 species